UACGAAGGGGGCUAGCGUUGCUCGGAAUCACUGGGCGUAAAGCGCACGUAGGCGGAUUGUUAAGUCAGGGGUGAAAUCCUGGAGCUUAACUCCGAAACUGCAUUCGAUACUGCCGUGCUUGAGGACUGGAGAGGAGACUGGAAUUUACGGUGUAGCGGUGAAAUGCGUAGAUAUCGUAAGGAAGACCAGUGGCGAAGGCGGGUCUCUGGACAGUUCCUGACGCUGAGGCACGAAGGCCAGGGGAGCAAACGGG
rnacentral:rRNA from 1 species